CUACCCUGAGGUUCGGAACAACCAGAGGAAACUCUGGCUAAUACCGGAUGAGACCACGCUACUGCGGUAGUGUGGGAAAAGCGGGGGACCUCUUUGGAGGCCUCGCGCCACAGGAUGAGCUCGCGUUCCAUCAGGUAGUUGGUGGGGUAAUGGCCCACCAAGCCUAAGACGGAUAGCUGGUCUGAGAGGAUGAUCAGCCACACUGGAACUGAGAUACGGUCCAG
rnacentral:rRNA from 1 species